GGCGGCGUGCUUAACACAUGCAAGUCGAACGGAAAGGCCCUGCUUUUGUGGGGUGCUCGAGUGGCGAACGGGUGAGUAACACGUGAGUAACCUGCCCUUGACUUUGGGAUAACUUCAGGAAACUGGGGCUAAUACCGGAUAGGAGCUCCUGCUGCAUGGUGGGGGUUGGAAAGUUUCGGCGGUUGGGGAUGGACUCGCGGCUUAUCAGCUUGUUGGUGGGGUAGUGGCUUACCAAGGCUUUGACGGGUAGCCGGCCUGAGAGGGUGACCGGCCACAUUGGGACUGAGAUACGGCCCAGACUCCUACGGGAGGCAGCAGUGGGGAAUAUUGCACAAUGGGCGGAAGCCUGACGCAGCAACGCCGCGUGCGGGAUGACGGCCUUCGGGUUGUAAACCGCUUUCGCCUGUGACGAAGCGUGAGUGACGGUAAUGGGUAAAGAAGCACCGGCUAACUACGUGCCAGCAGCCGCGGUGAUACGUAGGGUGCGAGCGUUGUCCGGAUUUAUUGGGCGUAAAGGGCUCGUAGGUGGUUGAUCGCGUCGGAAGUGUAAUCUUGGGGCUUAACCCUGAGCGUGCUUUCGAUACGGGUUGACUUGAGGAAGGUAGGGGAGAAUGGAAUUCCUGGUGGAGCGGUGGAAUGCGCAGAUAUCAGGAGGAACACCAGUGGCGAAGGCGGUUCUCUGGGCCUUUCCUGACGCUGAGGAGCGAAAGCGUGGGGAGCGAACAGGCUUAGAUACCCUGGUAGUCCACGCUGUAAACGGUGGGUACUAGGUGUGGGGUCCAUUCCACGGGUUCCGUGCCGUAGCUAACGCUUUAAGUACCCCGCCUGGGGAGUACGGCCGCAAGGCUAAAACUCAAAGGAAUUGACGGGGCCCCGCACAAGCGGCGGAGCAUGCGGAUUAAUUCGAUGCAACGCGUAGAACCUUACCUGGGUUUGACAUGGAUCGGGAGUGCUCAGAGAUGGGUGUGCCUCUUUUGGGGUCGGUUCACAGGUGGUGCAUGGCUGUCGUCAGCUCGUGUCGUGAGAUGUUGGGUUAAGUCCCGCAACGAGCGCAACCCUUGUUCACUGUUGCCAGCACGUUAUGGUGGGGACUCAGUGGAGACCGCCGGGGUCAACUCGGAGGAAGGUGGGGAUGACGUCAAGUCAUCAUGCCCCUUAUGUCCAGGGCUUCACGCAUGCUACAAUGGCUGGUACAGAGAGUGGCGAGCCUGUGAGGGUGAGCGAAUCUCGGAAAGCCGGUCUCAGUUCGGAUUGGGGUCUGCAACUCGACCUCAUGAAGUCGGAGUCGCUAGUAAUCGCAGAUCAGCAACGCUGCGGUGAAUACGUUCCCGGGGCUUGUACACACCGCCCGUCAAGUCAUGAAAGUUGGUAACACCCGAAGCCGGUGGCCUAACCGUUGUGGGGGAGCCGUCGAAGGUGGGACUGGUGAUUAGGACUAAGUC
rnacentral:rRNA from 1 species